UGGGGAAUAUUGGACAAUGGGCGAAAGCCUGAUCCAGCCAUGCCGCGGGUGUGAAGAAUGUCUUCGGAUUGUAAAGCACUUUAAGUUGGGAGGAAGGGCAGUAAGCGAAUACCUUGCUGUUUUGACGUUACCGACAGAAUAAGCACCGGCUAACUCUGUGCCAGCAGCCGCGGUAAUACAGAGGGUGCAAGCGUUAAUCGGAAUUACUGGGCGUAAAGCGCGCGUAGGUGGUUCGUUAAGUUGAAUGUGAAAGCCCCGGGCUCAACCUGGGAACUGCAUCCAAAACUGGCGAGCUAGAGUAGGGCAGAGGAGGGUGGAAUUUCCUGUGUAGCGGUGAAAUGCGUAGAUAUAGGAAGGAACACCAGUGGCGAAGGCGACCACCUGGGCUCAUACUGACACUGAGGUGCGAAAGCGUGGGGAGCAAACAGG
rnacentral:rRNA from 1 species